UUAAACGGAAGAGUUUGAUCCUGGCUCAGGACGAACGCUGGCGGCGUGCCUAACACAUGCAAGUCGAGCGGGGACAUUGCGACAGAUUUGAAGUUUUCGGAUGGAUAUGAAGAUGUAAUGUUCUAGCGGCGGACGGGUGAGUAACGCGUGAGCAACCUGUCCCUUACAGGGGGAUAACACAGCGAAAGUUGUACUAAUACCGCAUAAGACCACAGAGCGACAUCGCUUAGGGGUCAAAGGAGUAA
rnacentral:rRNA from 1 species